UAUAGGCAAAAUGGUGCCGUAACUUCGGGAGAAGGCACGCUGAUAUGUAGGUGAAGCGACUUGCCCGUGGAGCUGAAAUCAGUCGAAGAUACCAGCUGGCUGCAACUGUUUAUUAAAAACACAGCACUGAGCAAACACGAAAGUGGACGUAUACGGUGUGACGCCUGCCCGGUGCCGGAAGGUUAAUUGAUGGGGUCAGCGCAAGCGAAGCUCUUGAUCGAAGCCCCGGUAAACGGCGGCCGUAACUAUAACGGUCCUAAGGUAGCGAAAUUCCUUGUCGGGUAAGUUCCGACCUGCACGAAUGGCGUAAUGAUGGCCAGGCUGUCUCCACCCGAGACUCAGUGAAAUUGAACUCGCUGUGAAGAUGCAGUGUACCCGCGGCAAGACGGAAAGACCCCGUGAACCUUUACUAUAGCUUGACACUGAACAUUGAGCCUUGAUGUGUAGGAUAGGUGGGAGGCUUUGAAGUGUGGACGCCAGUCUGCAUGGAGCCGACCUUGAAAUACCACCCUUUAAUGUUUGAUGUUCUAACGUGGACCCGUGAUCCGGGUUGCGGACAGUGUCUGGUGGGUAGUUUGACUGGGGCGGUCUCCUCCUAAAGAGUAACGGAGGAGCACGAAGGUUGGCUAAUCCUGGUCGGACAUCAGGAGGUUAGUGCAAUGGCAUAAGCCAGCUUGACUGCGAGCGUGACGGCGCGAGCAGGUGCGAAAGCAGGUCAUAGUGAUCCGGUGGUUCUGAAUGGAAGGGCCAUCGCUCAACGGAUAAAAGGUACUCCGGGGAUAACAGGCUGAUACCGCCCAAGAGUUCAUAUCGACGGCGGUGUUUGGCACCUCGAUGUCGGCUCAUCACAUCCUGGAGCUGAAGUAGGUCCCAAGGGUAUGGCUGUUUGCCAUUUAAAGUGGUACGCGAGCUGGGUUUAGAACGUCGUGAGACAGUUCGGUCCCUAUCUGCCGUGGGCGCUGGAGAACUGAGGGGGGCUGCUCCUAGUACGAGAGGACCGGAGUGGACGCAUCACUGGUGUUCGGGUUGUCAUGCCAAUGGCACUGCCCGGUAGCUAAAUGCGGAAGAGAUAAGUGCUGAAAGCAUCUAAGCACGAAACUUGCCCCGAGAUGAGUUCUCCCUGACUCCUUGAGAGUCCUGAAGGAACGUUGAAGACGACGACGUUGAUAGGCCGGGUGUGUAAGCGCAGCGAUGCGUUGAGCUAACCGGUACUAAUGAACCGUGAGGCUUAACCUU
rnacentral:rRNA from 1 species